rnacentral:rRNA from 1 species
CAGUCGCCGCGGUAAUACAGAGGAUGCAAGCGUUAUCCGGAAUGAUUGGGCGUAAAGCGUGCGCAGGCGGUUCUAUAAGACAGAUGUGAAAUCCCCGGGCUCAACCUGGGAACUGCAUUUGUGACUGUAGAGCUGGAGUGCGGCAGAGGGGGAUGGAAUUCCGCGUGUAGCAGUGAAAUGCGUAGAUAUGCGGAGGAACACCGAUGGCGAAGGCAAUCCCCUGGGCCUGCACUGACGCUCAUGCACGAAAGCGUGGGGAGCAAACAGGAUUAGAUACCCCCGUAGUCCCUGUCUCUUAUAC